AAACCAACCGGGAUUGCCUUAGUAACGGCGAGUGAAGCGGCAAAAGCUCAAAUUUGAAAUCUGGUACCUUCGGUGCCCGAGUUGUAAUUUGGAGAGGGCAACUUUGGGGCCGUUCCUUGUCUAUGUUCCUUGGAACAGGACGUCAUAGAGGGUGAGAAUCCCGUGUGGCGAGGAGUGCGGUUCUUUGUAAAGUGCCUUCGAAGAGUCGAGUUGUUUGGGAAUGCAGCUCUAAGUGGGUGGUAAAUUCCAUCUAAAGCUAAAUAUCGGCGAGAGACCGAUAGCGAAUAAGUACAGUGAUGGAAAGAUGAAAAGAACUUUGAAAAGAGAGUGAAAAAGUACGUGAAAUUGUUGAAAGGGAAGGGCAUUUGAUCAGACAUGGUGUUUUGUGCCCUCUGCUCCUUGUGGGUAGGGGAAUCUCGCAUUUCACUGGGCCAGCAUCAGUUUUGGUGGCAGGAUAAAUCCAUAGGAAUGUAGCUUGCCUCGGUAAGUAUUAUAGCCUGUGGGAAUACUGCC
rnacentral:rRNA from 1 species